rnacentral:tRNA from 17 species
CGCGGGGUAGAGCAGUUGGUAGCUCGUCGGGCUCAUAACCCGGAGGUCGCAGGUUCAAGUCCUGUCCCCGCAACCA